rnacentral:rRNA from 1 species
UACGUAGGGGCGAGCGUUGUCCGGAAUGAUUGGGCGUAAAGGGCGCGUAGGCGGCUAUGCAAGUCUGGAGUGAAAGUCCUAUUUUCAAGGUAGGAAUUGCUUUGGAAACUGUGUAGCUUGAGUGCAGGAGAGGUUAUCGGAAUUCCCGGUGUAGCGGUGAAAUGCGUAGAGAUCGGGAGGAACACCAGUGGCGAAGGCGGGUAACUGGACUGCAACUGACGCUGAGGCGCGAAAGUGUGGGGAGCAAACAGGAUUAGAUACCCUGGUAGU